UCCCCCUCAGCACUUACUAUAAAACAGCGGUGCUACAGAGGCGCAGACCACAUGCCGAUUCUCUCUCUCUCUCUCUCUCUCUCUCUCUCUCAGUGUUCCCUAGUUUAUAACUUAUAACCUUGGUACCCAAAGUUUCCCCCUUUUUAAUGUAACUUAGUUCAAUUUAAUUUUGUGCCAGAUCAACAAAAAAUCCUCCAGUAUGUUUAUCCCUGAAAAGAAAAUGAAACGGAACACACGCACGCUGCUUGUAUAAUAGAAAACAGUUGACCUGUGUUAAAUGACUCAAUGUUUUUAAGUCUGUUUUUACAUCUGUUACGCUUCCGCCGGUGGGUGGCGCUGUGUCGUCGAAGCGCAAAGACUGCUGCAGAGCGCGCGUGCACGAGACCCUGACAUAUGGACACGCGCGGCUCGUUUGUUUUGACUUACUUCCCGUCCAGUGGAGUGAUGAGAAGAAAUCCUCAGAGACUGCUACAGUGUCCUCCCAGGAAUCCAGGGCUAAUCAUAGGCUGAAGUGUUUCAGAGACAUUCUGGACAUUUUUUCUGUUUCUGAAAGCAGGACCUCGCACUCGCCGCGCAGUACUGGCCAUUAUCUUCUAUGGAAAGUAGCUAAGGGUUGUCCAAAAUGUCGCUAGAUAUGUCGCUAGAUGCUUUAAAAAAAAAAAAAAAAGUUGCUAAAGGGGUCUGAGAAGUGGACCGAAGCUGUCCCUGUUAAAAUGAAUGAGUGAACAGCAGGAGGAGGAGGGGCUGCAGCGGGGAGUCAUAUUUUGAGUGAAAGGAUUGUAUUCGUGUUCUUUUGAAAAUAAACCCUUUAAAGUGAU